UCCUCUAGAGGGCUACAUGUACAUUUUGUUAUUUUCUAACAGAAAAAAAUUUGUUUUUUUCUUCCAGGGGACUGCAGAUUGAAUCUUUUACUUUGAUACUCGUUGAUUCUUGCUCUCCAAUAGGACUAUUUCAGAGUUGGGGACCGAUUGAUUCUUGGAAUAUUAAGAAAGUGGUCACAAACCCAACAAGAUGAUGAUAUACCACAAGCAAUUCGCAUCACAUGGAAGACAGAUGAUCUUUAAAGCAUCUUGGCUACUACAAUGCUUUUAAAUGAUUUGUCACAUGAUCUGUACAACCUAGCAAGAAAAUAAAUGAAAACAUAGGGCUAGGGCUUCGGCAGCAGGGCAGUGGCAGAAGGUAGUGGUAAGCAUGGCCUAUAUUUAUGAUCAGACGCCCUUGACCAUGGAAAACCCAGCAAGAGUUCUUCUUCGAGGUUCUUAGAAUGUGUCAAGGUUGAUGAUGAAGACCAGGUACGUUACAGCUAAGUUUUAUGUGCAAAAUACGUGUGCACAUGUAACCUCUCAAAC
rnacentral:lncRNA from 1 species